AACGCACAUUGCGCCCGUUAGUAUUCUGACGGGCAUGCCUGUUCGAGCGUCAUUUCAACCCUCAAGCACUGCUUGGUGUUGGCGGGCUACAGCGCACAGCGCCGUAGCCGCCCAAAUGCAUUGGCGGUCUCGCCGAGGCGCCCCCUGCGUAGUAGCACUAAACCUCGCAUCGGGACCCGGUGACGGCCUGCCGUAAAACACCCCCUUUUUCAGAAAUGUUGACCUCGGAUCAGGUAGGAAUACCCGCUGAACUUAA
rnacentral:misc_RNA from 1 species